rnacentral:lncRNA from 1 species
CAGGGAGGCACUUACCAUUGUUGCUUUCUUUUUGUACUAGUCUGUUACAUUUGGAGUUAUGACAGAUUAUACUACAGUUACCAUAAAGUAGUAUUUCCCAAGUGAAAAGACACUUCACAAACUAUUGUCUUUCUUUCUGUUUUCAGUUUUGCCAGUAAGAGACAAAAACAUUUGUUAGAAGGAGAAAGAAGCAGCAUAAAGAUUUAUUUUGGAAAGAAGAUUCUGUAGCUGUGGAACAAGCAAAUUGGAUCUUACUGUUUUCUGGUUACAUUUUGCCUUUUCACAUAAGGAAAUCUGCCCUCCAGUCCUUCUCACUUGACCAGAUGAGGAAUUUCACUUAUCUCCCAUUUCAGAGAACUCUACUAGACACGGUCUUCAGUCUGCAGUGGCUUUCACUGAUGUAACCCUACUUGUGGGAAAUAGAGCUGCAGAUUUCACCUGGCAUCAGACAUCUCUGAACAACGCUUUGCCAGCAGCUGUAAGACACUCCUGGGUCACAGGCAGGCAUCUU